rnacentral:rRNA from 1 species
GACGAACGCUGGCGGCGUGCUUAACACAUGCAAGUCGAACGGAAAGGCCCUGCUUUUGUGGGGUGCUCGAGUGGCGAACGGGUGAGUAACACGUGAGUAACCUGCCCUUGACUUUGGGAUAACUUCAGGAAACUGGGGCUAAUACCGGAUAGGAGCUCCUGCUGCAUGGUGGGGGUUGGAAAGUUUCGGCGGUUGGGGAUGGACUCGCGGCUUAUCAGCUUGUUGGUGGGGUAGUGGCUUACCAAGGCUUUGACGGGUAGCCGGCCUGAGAGGGUGACCGGCCACAUUGGGACUGAGAUACGGCCCGGACUCCUACGGGAGGCAGCAGUGGGGAAUAUUGAACAAUGGGCGGAAGCCUAAUGCAGCAACGCCGCGUGCGGGAUGACGGCCUUCGGGUUGUAACCCGCUUUCGCCUGUGACGAAGCGUGAGUGACGGUAAUGGGUAAAGAAGCACCGGCUAACUACGUG